rnacentral:lncRNA from 1 species
UGUUGGCAAGUACUGUAGUUUUAUAUUAUUUAUUUUUUUAUUUAUACGAGUGGAUAUUAAAUUGAUAAUUCAGUGAGUCUAAUUAAUAAUGUGCAACCACUAAAGUGGAGAGUAAAUGUAAAUUAGCAAGACAAUCUCUCUCUCUCUCUCUCUCUCUCUCUCUCUGUCUUUUUUUUUUUUUUGCUGGAUGGAGGCGGAGACGUUUCGAUUUCAGCUUCAGAGAGCUCGCGCUUGAGUUUGUAUUCAGCGGGGUCGCGCUUGAGUGUGUCACGAGCAGUGCACAAUAUGUUUCGCUUAGUUGCGUGAGGUACUUGCCCGUGUAGCGCACAGCCCAAAGACGCAAAUUGCGUAUCUGGACGCUUAACAAAUUCAGACCCACUGAUGAAGGAACUGUUAGAGCAAAGCACUGUUACACACCCACCGAGACUGGAUACCAUUUUGACUGGGCGGCGAGGGACAGUAACGUGAUGACCGUGGAAUUUGCCAUCAUGACAGAGGAAGCCAGUGAGUGACCUUACACAGAGUGCUAACGCUGAGCCUCUGAGCACCGUUUCAUAAGAGAUUUUUUAUUUUUUUUAUUGCAUAUGUAUUUUAUCAUAGAACACUUAAAUGUAAAUUAAAAGAAUGAUUUGGUAAGAGUAAAAUGGGAGUAAUCUGUCUUGUUUAUAAUGUCAGCAGCAAUGCAGGUUUCAGUGGACAGAUGGAAGGCAGCCAUCAUCUGCACUGUUGUGGAAAUGUGUCUUACAAGAUCUCAGAAAGCUCCUGCUGUAAUGUUAUGUACCUGACAACAACUCAUUUGUGUUGUGGUGGCGGCAACAUAUUUGAAUGGAAGGAAAAUCAUUCUUGUUGUGGCAAAGAAACGUAUGACAUGACAACCCACUGCUGCUGUACUAACCUUACACUAGAAGUAAAGCCUAAAAAUGAAACUUGCUGUCCAAAAGCAACAGGUGUGAUUAUUAGACAAACAGUAAUAGAUAUGUCAUUUGUUUUAGUAGGUUAUAAUCUGAAUCUUAUUCUCACAGACACUGAUGAAAGAACAGAAUGCCAGCAAGGCUCUCUUCCCACCCGGUGAGUCACACACAAUGUUCUGGCUUAAAGACUGUGUUAAAACUGUGUCAACA